rnacentral:tRNA from 1 species
GGGAAGGUGGCUCAGUGGUAGAGUGUUUACCUUACAUGCAUGAGGCCCUGAGUUCGAUUCCUCAGCUCCA